AACGAACGCUGGCGGCAUGCCUAACACAUGCAAGUCGAACGACACCACCGGGUCUAUUGGCGCACGGGUGCGUAACGCCUGGGAACCUGCCCUUAGGUUCGGAAUUGCUCCCCGAAGGGGGUUCUAAUAGCGGAUAAUGUGUUCGUACCAAAGAUUCAUCGCCGUUGGAUGGGCGGGCGUUGGAUUAGCUAGUUGGUAGGGUAAAAGCCUACCAAGGUGACGAUCCAUAGCUGGUCUGAGAGAAUGAUCCGCCACACUGACACUGAGACGCGGCAGAGACUACUAGGGGAGGCAGCAGUGCGGAAUCUUGGAAAGUGGGCUAAAUCAUGAUCCAGCUCGGCCGCGUGAGUGAUGAAGGCCGUAGGGUUGUACAGCUCUCUUACCCGGGAUGAUAAUGACAGUACCGGGAGAAUAAGCUCCGGCUAACUCCGUG
rnacentral:rRNA from 1 species